rnacentral:rRNA from 1 species
GACGAACGCUGGCGGCGUGCCUAAUACAUGCAAGUCGAACGGAGUGGCGAACGGGUGAGUAACACGUGGGUGAACUGCCCUGCACUCCGGGAUAAGACUGGGGAACUGGGUCCAAUACCGGAUAGUGUGGGCUGGGUCAGCGGCCUAUCGGUUAGUUGGUGGGGUAAUGGCCUACCAAGUCGGCGACGGGUAGCCGGCAUGAGAGGGUGGACGGCCACAUUGGGACUGAGAAACGGCCCAGACGCGUACGGGAGGAAGCGGUGGAGAAUCUUGCACAAUGGGCGGAAGCCUGAUGCAGCGACGCCGCGUGGGGGAUGACGGCCUUCGGGUUGUAAACUCCUUUCACCAUCGACGCGGUAGAUGGAGAAGAAGCACCGGCUAACUACGUGCCAGCAGCCGCGGUAAUUC